AUAUCAAUAAGCGGAGGAAAAGAAACCAACAGGGAUUGCCCCAGUAACGGCGAGUGAAGCGGCAACAGCUCAGAUUUGAAAUCUGGCCCUCUUCGGGGUCCGAGUUGUAAUCUGUAGAGGAUGCUUUUGGCAAGACGCCUUCUGAGUCCCCUGGAACGGGGCGCCAUAGAGGGUGAGAGCCCCGUACGGUUGGACGUCGCGCCUCUGUAAAGCACCUUCGACGAGUCGAGUAGUUUGGGAAUGCUGCUCAAAGCGGGAGGUAAAUUUCCUCUAAAGCUAAAUACCGGCCAGAGACCGAUAGCGCACAAGUAGAGUGAUCGAAAGAUGAAAAGCACUUUGAAAAGAGGGUUAAAAAGCACGUGAAAUUGUUGAAAGGGAAGCGCUUACGACCAGACUUGGUCCCGGCUGAUCAUCCGGCGUUCUCGCCGGUGCACUCGGCCGGGUGUCAGGCCAGCAUCGGUUUCCCCGGGGGCAUAAAGGCCCUGGGAAUGUAGCUCUUCCGGGAGUGUUAUAGCCCGUCGCAUAAUACCUCCGGGGGGACCGAGGCCCGCGCAUCUGCAAGGAUGCUGGCGUAAUGGUCGUCAGCGG
rnacentral:rRNA from 1 species